rnacentral:rRNA from 1 species
UUAGGGUCGUCGAAGACUACGACGUAGAUAGGCUGCAGGUGUAAAGGCGGUAACGUCAUAGCCAAGCAGUACUAAUAACCCGACAACUUGCCGGA